GGAACAGUAUUAAAUGCUCCUGGAACGGCGAUCUCUAUCGCUGUUGGUACAAUGUUUGUUAUCCAAACAUUUCAUCCUUACUUGCGCACCGUGAGUUCAUGCAUUCUUAUCAGCGUAUCGUCAACAAUAGCAACACUUGCGGCGCCACCUAUAUCUGGGUCUGCGCUGAUUGCUGUUCAAGGCAUUGUCUUACAAGUCAUUGGAAUUCCAACGGCUGACGUCUGGUUGAUCUUUGCUGUUGAAUGGUUGACAGAUCGCAUUGUUACCCCUGUCAACAUUUGGGCAAACAGUUCAGCUUUGGUUAUAAUUGAGCAUUAUUCACG